GACAGAAGGAAGUGGAGAGGGUCAGCUCCCAUGACAGAUGCAAGGAGACUGUCCACGGGUGGCUGCACGCAGAUACACCCAGGUCCUUGACCCCGGUUCUCCUGGGCUUCUAUCGGAGGGCAAGAAGCCCACUGGCCUCUUUCUGGAGGGCGGAGCAGAGGGCUGCUCCGGAAGGAGUGGAAAACGAGCUUCUGAGACGCUGCCUAGUGGAGCCGGCCCUCACCCCAUUCCGGGAUAAAGAUCAGUGGGGUUGAGGUGGAGAGGGACCCCACAGUUCCCGCACCUGCCAUUGUGACAUCACUGGCAGCCUGAGGAGUGGAGGUUUGGGGCUCCCUCCACUUCGGGGUCCCUACUGGCCAGCCCCUGACAGCACCAGAGGCCUGACUUCAAGACACAGGCUGUGCUGAAAGUGACCACCCUUCCAUUUAGCUCCUGCCCUCCACCUGGGAAAGUUCACAGGAUCCUGGGCUGAGAGCCCUCUCUCCAUCCCCAGGUCCACUCCUUGAGUCUGUAAGGCCUGGCAUCACAAGUCUCCAGGUGGCUCCUUUCCAACCUCUCCUGCCUCCUCUUCAAACAUGGCUGAUUCUACACGACUGCCCUGCUCAAGAGCACUUCACACGUACGCAGCCAAACUCCUUGGCCUGGCUUUUGCGGCUUUCCCUAAAUUGGCCUCAUCAUGCUUUAUUUUUCAGCCCAUAAUGCUUGUCAUCUGUCUUCAGCCGGAGGGGCACAGCUAACUUCAUGUUGCUCUCCCCCUGGCGGUGCCCUGCCUGUUCUCUGCCUGCAAGUCCUACCAGCAUGCAUCUUCAAAACGCCGCUCCAGCCCAUCCUGACUCCACCAGGCCCAACUUCUGCUUCCACACAGGAGAGCACCCCUUGCUGUGCUCCCUUGUUGUCCUGGAUGUGGCUCACCUCUGUCCCCUCAUGCCCCUCUGGGCUCCUAGUGAAGCACUGGGUGUCUGCCGGGGGGUCCCUGGCACUGACUCUCACUACCUUCCUGGGCUUCACUUCAUUCCUUACUUGAACUCCCUGAACAGCAAAUCUUCCAUGCGGCCACCUCUGACCUCUGGGGCAACUCUCAAGAGUCCAGCAGAGGGUGGUGGUAAAAUCAAAAGAAGACUGAUGAGAAGGACUCGAAGAAAACUUUUAGAAAGAAACCAGAGACUAAGCAGGGAUGUGUGUGAAAUACUGGUUUUUAUUGGUUGGCACAAUAUUACAACCUACAGUUCCAAUGCCCUUCCCUCCCACACAGUUCAAGUGGAAAGAAACUGAUUAACACACAGAAAGGAACAGCACACUCACAGGUUUAAGCAUUUGUUUUUACAAAAAGGAGUCAGAUAUAGGGGUGGUGGGAUUUUAGGGAUAGUACCAGAGCUCCAGCUAGACUAUGGGGGAGGGCUUUGCUGUCCUCUGCUGCCGGCACACAUGAAGGGAUGCUUUAGUAAGGGGACAGUUACACACGGCUGGCUGGCUAUUAAAGGGGGAAAAGGGGGACUUGCAUCUGCUGUGCACCUGUCUCAGACCCAAACCUGAACUUUCUUUUCAGCCCUCCCCCACAACCCGCCUGCCCCCACGGGAAAGAGAGGUAUGAAGGAAGCCUAAGAACAGCCUCCUAGAGAAAGGGUGCAGGAAAACUCAGUUUCCUUCCACCUCCUCUGGACCCAUUCUGCUCCCCUCAGCUCCUAAGAGCACUGAGAGACUGGGGAAGAAGCCAGGCCUGGGCAGGCGGCUCCAAGUGGGCAGGGAGGAAAACUCGCUUUUCCAUACAAUACCAAGCAAGGUUGUUUUGCAAACGAAAAAAUGGAAAACAAGACCAUGCACCCCUGGGUCAGGAGCUCCUACGUCCUGGAGCACAUUUGGAUAGGGGUAAGGGCGACGUUAUUCCAAACCCCAGUUGUGAAAGGUCGCAAGAGGCUAAGGGACCAUAACCAACCCCUCCUCCCACACAAGCGCCUUUCCUUGGAUUCCCUGGGGUUUUGUUGAGCUCAUCUGGGGUUAUUCUGCUACCCUCUCCAAGGAUGAGUACUCAGCCCAUUGGCCACUCCACUUUUUACCCUUUCUAGAAAUAUACAGCACACUGCCUAAACAGGUGAUCCAUUCUCACUCUGCAGAAUGGUCACCAAGGAACCAGGUGACCUAGGGGUGGAAAGGCUAAGUUGUUUGCUUUUCUGGGUGGUCCUGAUGGAAGGGGACAGCAGUGGAGUUCUGGUGGAAUCUGAAGUCUGGUUUGAGUCUGUGUGAUCCCCAGGGGACUGACUGGUCCCUGGGUACAUGGGCCCCUGGCUCUGUCUCAGUUCUGGAGACUUUGUCAUUUAGGCCUCAGCUAAAACAUGAAGGGAAAGGGACAAAGACUUUGUCCUUCAGAAAAAGUUAAACUCAAUACAUCUUGGCUACUUUAUCUCCAUCCAAAGGGUUCCCUGGAAACACCUGUUGAACUUGGCCAAAGGGAGACUGCACCUGUGCAAUACACUUGAGAAGACAGGGUUCAGAAGCACCUCUAGUUCAUCUGUUUCAGAACUGGAAUGGUCCCAGGGAGUUUAACCCUUCUGGUGCUGAUGGUAGAUGAGUGGAGUGGAGGUGAGCAGAGUUGGGAAACCCCUCAAAUAUGCCUCAUGCUGUUUGGAGAUCAUACCCUGUAGCUCAGCAAAUAGAGCUGGGGUCUCACUGCUUCUUCCUUAGAGCCCAUCCCCUACCAAGGUGAUUGAGUAGGUGGGAAAAAGGUCCUUGAAAUAAAGACUGGCCUCUUUAUACAAAAUCAAAUAUAAAGAUGCUACUAACAGGCUUCCACAUCCUCCCUCUGAAACACUUGGGUAGGCCAGAGAUACCUGCUUUACUUUUACAACAUCCUCAAAUGCUCCUACUUCCUUAAACACAUGGUGUACACUGGUAGUUAACUUUAAGAUAGAUGCACUAACUGACAUUUUAUUCAUUUUAACCACCAACUUUUUCUUCAAUUAUAAAUCAGUUUGAAUGUUUUCAGACCAUGAGACAAUAAAAACGGACCUGACAUUUAUAAAACUGCACCCCACACUGUGUCUCUUUUAUAAUAGAGUGGACCAACUGUUUUUCUAACUACAAAAUGCAACACUGUGCAACUGCUG